UGGGGAAUAGUCACGGCGGAUCCCGUCGGUGAGCUGGAGGAAGUUGAGGUAGCAGCGGUGGUUGCGUUGAAGCACUUUUGACACAUAUUGUUUGUUGCUGGAUUUCCGGUGACUCCACAAUUGUUGAUGCAAAGCGUUAUUGUUUCAGGUACUGCCUUGAACUCCGUCUCUUCUUUCUCCGUUCUCUGAGCCAUUUUUUUCUCUGUGUAAAAAUUAAAUUAUUAGAGAAUUCGAUUGCAAAUGAAGAAAGAGAAAAUAUGAAAUUUGAGGAGAGAGAGAGGAAUUUGUGGUUUGGUUUGGAAGAUGAAAUGGGAAAGAGGCGAAGGGGAAAUGGAGGUUUUAAGGAGGAGAGAGGUCGGUAAUGGCGAUGGAAUAAUGGCCUCAUUGGAUACGCGUAUCAGGCAAAUUGUGGGGUGAGGUGAUUGAUUGACGAUAAUGCCCCUAUGGAUUUUGGUUUUAUUUUGUUUCACAUUUAAUGUUCGAUAUCUGCAUUAAAACGUGACUAUACAUUAAAACUCGAUUAAUUCAAAUUUAUAUAAAACAAUCCCACUAUAAAAAGGAAAAACUAAGAUAUUCCCAAAAGCGACUACAUGUUCCGUAUCCAAACUUGAACUCUAUAAUUAAAGAUGAAAAAAUAUUUUUCAUACCACUGUAACUUAGUCGUCAUUUGAUCAUAAAAAUAAUAAUUUUUUGAAUUAAAGUUGGAAUUGAAAUUGAAGUUGGUGUUGUGCAUGAUUAUGGAUAUAAAUUAAAAUUGUUUUUGAAAUUUUGUGACCAAAAUAGGAGUGAAAAUAUGUAGAGUUGUUUUUGAAAUUUUAUAAGGUAAAUAAAGAUGAAAAUAAGUAAAAUUUUGUGACCAAAAUAGAAGUGAAAAAUAUGUAGAGUUGUUUUUAAAAUUUUAUGAGGUAAAUAAAGGUGAAAAUAAGUUAAAAAAAUCAUUUUUUAAAAAUAAUUUUUAUUGAACCAAUUUUUAUGAUCGAGCAUUAUUAUUUUUAUUUUUUAAUAAAAUAAAAUAAUUUUGAAAACAAUAAAAAAUAUAUUUUUUAUUAAAACUAAAAUAAUUUUAAUUUUUUUUAAAAAAAAUUUCAUGAUCAAAUGUUAGAUUAUGUCGGGGUUAAUAAUGGGGUAUUUUGGUGGUCGAAGGGAUGUGGUUCUAGAUUAGGUCUGACGUGUUAUUUACUUAAUCGUCACUUUUAGAGGAUUUUUCUUUAUUAAAAAAGUAACAAUAGUUUUUUUUUGGUGUUUUGGUGACCUCUUUAUAAUUAAAAUAUAGAGGAUAUUUUAUACAGGCUGGAUAAGGUAUGGAAAAUGACUCUUUUUUCUUAGAGGACAGCUUGUUAAUUUGUAUUUAUGUUUUUUGACACAAUUUUCAAGCUUGGAACUACCCCCUGUCCAUCCCUCCCAUGAUCCAUCGCUCACAAUUUGAAGUAAAUGUAAAUAUGCAACAUGUAUAUUCUUUUCCACUCGUCCCGUCCCCUUCGAAGUUAUGUGACCCUAUUUAAUUAUUCAUUUCAUAUUACUUGAUUGCGAGAUAUAAGAUAUAAUAAUUUUAAGAUAAAAUAUAAAAUUAUUUUAUUUUAUAUUUUAUUAGAGGUAUUAGUUAGUCUGAAUUUAUUUAUCUCACUAUUUAUAUCUUCAUGAUGAAAUAAGUUAUUCCAUAUAUAUGAUGGGAUAGCUAAUUCAGAAUAACUUGUUCCCAACCAAACAACCCCUUAUUGAUUUAGCAAAUCUCCUAUAAAAGUUUUAGUUAUUAAAUCCUUCUACUCAUUUAUGUCAUGUUUCGAGUUAUAUAAUGCUAUUUAAUUACUUUAUUCGUUUCGUAUUACUUGAUCCUUGUUGAUUUAACAUAUAUGUUAUAAAAGUUUCAGAUAAAUAUAUAUUUUAUUAAAUUAAUAUUAUUAAUAAUAUUUUAAAACUCAAAAAUUAACUACUACUAUCAAAGGUAAAAAGAUUAAAAACUAUCGUUGAAUUUUCUUUAUAUCAUAAAUUUAACGAGUAAAUUGAAAUAAUUAGUUUUAAUUGAUAUGGAGGGAGUACGUAGUUAAUAGAUUUAAAAGAAAAAAUAACACAAAUCUUAAAACUUGCAUGUUGUUAUCGAUAGUGCUUUUGUUGUUAGAAUCUUUAAUAUUUUUUAUCGUAAUUGCUUUUAUUGUUAGAAUCUUUAAUCUUUUUUAGUUGAAAAAAUAUAUUGAUUGAGUAGCGAAUAAGAUUAAUAGAUCAAUUUUAUGGAAGACUUUUCUCAUUAUUGUUCGCGUUCAAGAAAUGAAAUAGUAUUAGAUAAAGUAAUAGUCUUUGAGUUUCUCAUUUCCAUGACAGCAUGAGUUAAUUGUUACAUAAUUGUUCCUACUGGCCCAUUUUCAGCGUCUUUUACUAUUUUGAUGCAAUCAUUAAAAAAUAACUUCGCUAAAUUGUCCUUAAUCUUUCCUCAAUUAUGAAAAAAAAAAGAAGAAAUUAUUGGAGCAAGGUUUUAUUUAGAAAAAUAAAUUAUUUUUUUUUUAUUUCUUAAAAUGAUAUAAUUGUGAACCAAAUUUAAAAGGCUAAACGAUCACUUAAAAUAAGUCGGAGGGAGUUUUGUUGACAGGAUACAAGUGUUUUAAUGCACAACAACUUUCACACAAUUAUUUAGAUCUUUCACCUAUAUAUCAAUAUUUUCUUUCAAAGCCUUUGUUGAAAUUUAUAUAGGGAAUGAUUUCUCGUGUCACAACGGUUUUUGCAUACCAAGUAAGUAGUUGUUUUUCUUUUUAGCUUUCUACUAUGGUCAUUGGUACUUCGUCUUAUGACAUAAGUGAGGAAAUAAAAUCUCUGCAGACUAGGUUCAUUUGAGAAAUAAAAUCCCUAUGAUGUGUUCAAGCUUCUUGUUUCUUGAUUUAAGGAGUUCGAGUUAUAUGUUCCUACAAAAAGAAAAAAGAAAAAAAAAAGGAGAGUUCCUUCUCAAGCUUUAAUCAUUGCAUAAACGGAGCUAUAACUUGAAAUUGUACUAAUUUUUUGUUAAAAUUAUUGAGUUCUAAUUAACAUUUGUAUAUAUUUACCAGGUGUGAUAUGACCCGUCCUGACGUGAAGAAUAUUUUUAGAUUAAUUAUUAUGAUUUACAUACUUUUAACGUAAUUUUUAAAAUAAUAUAUAUUACACUCUCUGUCUAAUUUU
rnacentral:lncRNA from 1 species